GUGAGGAAUUUUCCGCAAUGGGCGAAAGCCUGACGGAGCAAUGCCGCGUGAAGGAUGAAGGCCUAUGGGUUGUAAACUUCUUUUCUCAGAAAAGAAUUAUGACGGUAUCUGAGGAAUAAGCAUCGGCUAACUCUGUGCCAGCAGCCGCGGUAAGACAGAGGAUGCAAGCGUUAUCCGGAAUGAUUGGGCAUAAAGCGUCUGUAGGUUGUUUAAAAAGUAUUCUGUCAAAGAUUAGGGCUUAACCCUAGAUAGGCAGAAUAAACUUUUAAGCUAGAGUUUGGUAGAGGCAGAGGGAAUUCCCGGUGGAGCGGUGAAAUGCGUAGAUAUCGGGAGGAACACCAAAGGCGAAGGCACUCUGCUGGGCCAAUACUAACACUGAGAGACGAAAGCGAGGGGAGCAAAUGGGAUUAGAAACCCUGGUAGUCC
rnacentral:rRNA from 1 species